UACGGGGGGAGCAAGCGUUGUUCGGAUUUACUGGGCGUAAAGGGCGCGUAGGCGGCCUCCGCAAGUCAAUUGUGAAAUCUCCGAGCUUAACUCGGAAAGGUCAACUGAUACUGCGGGGCUAGAGUGCGGAAGGGGCAACUGGAAUUCUUGGUGUAGCGGUGAAAUGCGUAGAGAUCCGGAGGAACACCAGUGGCGAAGGCGGCCUGCUGGCUGACAACUGACGCUGAGGCGCGAAAGCAUGGGGAGCGAACGGG
rnacentral:rRNA from 1 species